CCGUCUUCGCAGUGAGUUCGCACAGCGAUUUUGUUGCAGAGCGAAAUCGUGAACACUGCGACUACGGUACUGCGAAAGACUGUAUAGCGGUACUACUACGUGUCCAUAUAUUUGAGCAUCGCUUUCUUGUAUUUAAAAAGAUCAACUACGGGCUCUUUCCUUUCAAUCAAUUGUUUGGUAGUUCAUUCGUUAUUCUAUCUAUUCAGAUGACAUAUCUACGACGGGGGAAAAGGAACCUGUACUGAGACAACCUGUAGCGCACCCCAGAUCUUCUGAAACAGGGUCAAAAGAUGAUUCUCAACAAAUUAAUAAUGUACAACAGGAACCUGUACGGGAGCAACUAGAAUCAAGCCCUAAACGAUCUCCUGAAUUUGAGUCGAACGAAAACCCAGAGAUAGUUGUCGACGGCAACAUUGACACGGAUCAAACUGACGUGAAAGGGUUUGCGUUGGAAUUUCCCGAAAUCACAGACCCGAUUACUCGAGAAGUGAAUGAGGAUACACGGAAAAGACGUA